UACGGGGGGAGCAAGCGUUGUUCGGAUUUACUGGGCGUAAAGGGCGCGUAGGCGGUCGUGACAAGUCACUUGUGAAAUCUCCGGGCUUAACUCGGAACGGUCAAGUGAUACUGUCGGGCUAGAGUACAGAAGGGGCAACUGGAAUUCUCGGUGUAGCGGUGAAAUGCGUAGAUAUCGAGAGGAACACCUGCGGCGAAGGCGGGUUGCUGGGCUGAUACUGACGCUGAUGCGCGAAAGCCAGGGGAGCGAACGGG
rnacentral:rRNA from 1 species